rnacentral:lncRNA from 1 species
CUGAUUUCUGCCAGGACACCUGCGAACAGAUACCAGCUGCCUGGAGUCUGUCAGUUGCUGAGGAGGCAUAGGAAGAAACUAGUUCACCCAUGUCUCUCUUACACACAGGUUAAAAUCAACCUGUCAAAUCUCAUGAAAAACCUGGUGAAGUUUUGUUGGAAUUGUAUUAUACUGGAUGAUCAAUUUGGAGAGAUUUGACAGCUCCAGAAUAUGAAGAAUUUCUGGCUACAAAUAUGAUCCUGAAUUCCAGUGGAAUGGCUGAUACCAAGCAGCAUGAAGACCCCCCCAGAGGAGCACUAUCAGCAUGAAGACCCCUGCAGAGGAGCCUAAUCAGGAUGAGAAUGAGGUUUCUUCAUCUCCUUGUCUCAUGACUUCACCCUAUGCUCUUUGACCAGUCAAGGAUCCCCACACCUCGGCCCACUAUUCAUCCAAACCCCUUAAAAUCCCUACUUCCAAACUCCUUGGGGAGAUGGAGUUGAGGUUUCCUUCUGUCUCCUCAUUUGGUUGCUUUACCAUGAAACCUCUUUCUCAGCUGCAACUGGGUGACUUAGCGUAUUGCCUUGCUGUGCAUCGUGAAACAAACUUGGUCCUGUUACAUGGGUUCUCCUUGAGUAAAACCAAGGACAGAGGAGGCAGGGAAGCAUGGCUUAGUGAAGGAAAUUCAUCAGGGGCCCCAACUGAUUCAAAUCAGGGCUUAGACUAUCUGAAGAAAUAGAUUAACUGAGUAGUUUUUAAAGAGCCUUUCUGAAGUGGCUACGUUGUCUGGGGUAAAUACCCGGGGUUUGUUCUCUCAGUCCUCUCACUCCAGGAAAAUUUAGGACAAGGACACUCAUGAGGAGUUUAGGAGUGGAGGUUUAAUAGGCAGAAGAAAAGAGAAAGAAAAGCCUGGGCGUGGUGGCUCACGCCUGUAAUCCCAGCACUUUGGGAGGCCGAGGUGGGUGGAUCAUGAGGUCAGGAGAUCGAGACCAUCCUGGCUAACACAGUGAAAUCCCAUCUCUACUAAAAAUACAACAAAUUAGCUGGGCAUGGUGGCGGGCGCCUGUAGUCCCAGCUACUCGGGAGGCUGAGGCAGGAGAAUGGCAUGAACCUGGGAGAAGGAGCUUGCAGUGAGCAGGGAUAGCGCCACUGCACUCCAGCCUGGGUGAAAGAGGGAGACUCUAUCUCAAAAAAAAAAAAAAAAAAAAAAAAAAAAAAAAAAAGAAUAAAAGAGAGAGAGAAAAACAGCUCUCUCUAUAGAGGGAAGGGUCUUCCGAGCAGAAAAGUCUGGCUGGCAGGGAUGCACCAGAUUUUAUAGUCCAGCUUGAGGAGGCAGUGUCUGAUUUAUGUAGGGCUCACAGAAUGGUUCGAUCAGGUGUGACAUUUACAUGGGGGGGCAGGGCGGAUGUGAAGGCUGGUUACCCCACCCUUGUGCAAAUGAACGCUCCCCUAGGCCUGCUCCAUCUUGUCUGCUCCUUCUUGAACACGUGGCUGACAGAGAAGGGAAGAUGGAGACACCAUCUUGAAUAUGUCUAGUCUCUAGUUUCUGGGGGCUUUCACCCAUUCAAGCUCGCAGUUUGCUUGUCCAUGUCUGCAACUCGACUUUACAGGCUGUUCUUUGUUAGAAAAUGAUUUGAGGCUGCUUGAGUAAGUAAAAGCCUUACUGAGGACUCCCAUACCCUCACUAUCUGCCUAAGUGAUUUCCUCUGAACUCCUAUAUCACUCCCAAAAAUGUCUUUUCAAUCAGGCUUUGUAUGUGUACCAUCAAUCAAUAAUUGGAGGCUGACUGCCCUGGAAAAGCUGGGACUUGCACUGAAAAUUGGGGCCUGAUUCAUAUGCAGGAGAUGGGAUACAGAAGCUGAAGUUCAUGCGUAGGAGCCUAUAUAUCCUUCUCAGAAAGAAGGUGGGACAUCACAGAACUUUUUCACGAAAGUUGUUCUUUGCCUAUUCUAACUACUGAACAGAACCAUCAGUGAAGACUCCAUAGAACAUGAAUAUAAUGAUUAUGGCAUAGGAAAUUUUAAGUAGUUAUUUUCAUGUGCCGGACACCACAGGAAGAUCUCAAUGAUGCUUCUACUGACAGUCUAAUUUUGAAGGACACCAUGUCACUUCCUGCUGGAAUGAACUCAUGGCUGACCAUGAGCAUCUCUAGGUAACUAAACAAGCCUGCAUUUUGGAGCUAGUGAACAUAGACCCAUGGAAUUUGGAAGACAGCUGUGAAAAUGCUGCCUUGGCCUUAGAAUUGCUGGUUUUGAUAUUUUUUUAAGGCACAUGUUAGGGUGCAGGUUUUUCUACUUAAUGACAACAAGAACAUAUUUUCAACAUGCAAACACCCAGGUUUCUGUGGCAGGGACAUCAUGAUAACGUUCCAGAUAUUAAGAUAUUUGUUAUGAAAGAAGAGCAGGAUCCCGGCCCUGCUUUCUUCAUCCCAGGUGUGAGGGGGCCAUCAGCUGCUUUGUAGCCUCCAUUCCAGGAUGCAGGCUGCCCUUAACUCUUGGGUCUCCAUGCUUACAGAGGCAGCAAUAACUAGGUGCCUCUUGUAACACUGUUUGGUUUAACCUGGACACAGAGACAAAAGACAAGAAAGGAUCGAUUGCAGCUACACAAAGUGUUUCUUUAGUUGUAACAAACUUUUCAGUAGGAUGUUAGGAAACUUGGGUGGGGCUCUCUCCCAGCACACUGGGAAGCCUUGGAGGGUUUCAAAUGGGAAAACAGUAGGACUCUUGUUUUUCAAAAAGCGUUCUUGCUGCUAGGUGAAGAAUGAAUAUGGUGGGGGCAAGGUCUCUAAUACUACGUAAGAGUGGCUUCCAGGUCCCAGAAUGAGAAGUAUCUAGGGUUUUUAUAAAAUUUGAGGCUGCUUUAUUAAGACAGAGCUGGAAGAAAUGUCUCAGGGGGUCACUAGGGGUAAAGGAAUGUAUCAGAGUCAUAGUAUUCACAACUUUUUUUUUUUUUUUGAUGGAGUCUCGCUGUCGCCCAGGCUGGAGUGCAAUGCUGCAGUCUCGGCUCACUGCAACCUGUGCCGCCUGGGAUUGAGUGAUUCUCCUGCCUCAGGCUCUUGAGUAGCUGGGACUAUAGGUGCAUGCCACCACACCCGGCUUAGUUUUGUAUUUUUAGUAGAGACGGGGUUUCACUGUGUUGGCCAGACUGGUCUCAAACUCCUGACCUCAUGAUCCACCCGCCUCGGUCUCCCAAAGUGCUGGGAUUACAGGCAUCAGCCACCACACCCGGCCAUAUUCAUGACUUUCUUACCAAAUUCUUUCUCCCUGUGAGUUGGCAGACCCCUCUCUGGGGUUUAUUCUCCAGAGAUGGGAGGAGCUGGAGGUCAGUAGGGACAGAGUCAUCACCAGGGUCAUCAGGGAAAGGAGAGGGAGGAGGGUCUGUGCUGUUGGCCAAAUAAAAGGAAAACUGUUUGAUGUCAUUCAACACAGAUAGGCUCCUGCAAGGCCACAGAGUGUAUGUCCUCCCAGCUGGACGAAGCAAGCCUGCCCCUGACACCUGCAGGGCUCCAAGCAAGAACAUAAAUGGAGACCCUCAUACCACAGACCAGAAUUUAGAGAUUAUACAUCAAAAUCUCAAACUGCUAAAUAUACUACAUUCUAACCUCUUACUACUUCAGAAAUGUCUUCAUAACAACAAAUCAGGAAAAUAUUAACAAGGCUUUGGGUGUGUGGGUGCGUGUGUGUGUGUGUGUUGUUGUUGUUGUUGUUGUUUGCUUUUUUGAGACAGGGUUUCACUCUGUUGCUCAGGCUGGAGUGCAGUGAUGCAGUCAUGGCUCACUGCAGCCUUGACCUUCUGGGCUCAAGCAGUCCUCCUGCCUCAACCUCCCAAGUGGCUGGGAACACAGGUGUGUGUCACUAUGCCUUCCUGAUGUUUUUACAUUUUGUGGAGACAGGGUCUUCCUAUGUGGCUCAGGCUAUUCUGGAACUCCUAGGCUCAAGCAGUCUUCCCACCUUGGCCUUCCAAAGUGCUGGGGUUACAUGUGUGAGCCACUGUGCACAGGCUAUGGGUUUUAUACAACUAAAGGGUGGCAAUAUUUCAAAAAUGACUGAAUUAAAUUUGGAUUCUGAGUAUUCUGUUUAUGGAUUGUUUUUGUUUAUAGUAGAGUAUUUUGUUUAUAUAUAGGUAAGAAAAUUAAAACACAUGUGUGAUUCAUACAUUAUUAUAUAUUUAGUGUAUAAAAUUUAUUGUUCUUGUGUUCAUUUCAGCAAAAUCAUGAAUUGGCUAUUUUUAAUAUCAUCAUAUAAUUCAUAUUCUAGCGAUAACGUUGUUUAGAUGAUGAAGAUAUUAAAUGUAUAUAUUGCAGGUGGUAUGAAAAAACAUGUUAAAUAAAAUUGUAUUCAAAAU